rnacentral:lncRNA from 1 species
CGCUUUCAGGAGGCUGCACUACACAGACUCCCGGUCCCUGCCGAGCUGUCCAGGCAGCAGCCUGAGUCUUAGAGCUCCGGAGCCGCGCCGCUCAGGAGCAACCCCAUGGCAGAGCAGCUGGCCUUGGUGAUAGGAUGCAUCAUUGGGGGGCUGCUGCUGCUGAUCGGAAUCAGCUGCUGUCUGUGGAAGAGGCUUUGUACCACCUUCACCUAUGAGGAACUGCCAGAGACAGCAGACACGGCCACCAGCUCUUCCUUCAGCAAAAAAGAGGAGAGGCCCUGCCGGUAUGCUGGAAUCCCAUCUGUCAGGCUACCAAGUGUACCUUUUGUGGUACCCCCUUCUCACCAAGGCCGAGACUGGGUACGCCUACAUGGUGGUGACUGGGCUGUGGCCCCACAGGACCCCUGCCCUGUCCCAGAGCACAUAACCUGCACCUCGAGUCGCUGCUGGCCAGACCUCCCUCCCCUUGUGUGUAAUGGGGAGCAUCAACCCCGAGCUGUACAAGUCCUCAGAGGACGUGAGCGAGGCGGGCUUCCCCGAUGGCUGCCUGGGCCGGCUGUGGUUCUCGGUGGAGUACCAGCAGGAGUCCGAGCGGCUGCUGGUGGACCUGAUCAAGGCCCAGCACCUGCAAGUUCCCGCUGAGACCUGCAGCACGCUGGUGAAGCUCCACCUGCUGCCUGACAAGCGGCGUUUUCUUCAGUCCAAGGCCAAACGCAAAACUUGCAACCCACAGUUUGAUGAGAGCUUCAUCUUUCAGGUAUCCAGCAAAAGUGUUGCCCAGAGGGUGCUGAAGUUCUCCGUGUACCACGUAAACAAGCAGAGGAAGCACCAGCUCCUGGGCCAGGUGCUGUUCCCACUGAAGAAUGAGACCCUGGCAGGGGACCGCCACCGUGUUAUCUGGAGAGACCUGGAAGCUGAGAACCUGGAGCCCCUCUCGGAGUUUGGUGAUCUCCAGUUCUGCCUCAGCUACAACGACUACCUGAGCCGCCUGACUGUGGUCGUGCUCCGGGCCAAGGGUCUCCAGCUCCAGGAAGACAGGGGUGUUGUCAGCGUGUUUGUCAAGGUGUCUCUGAUGAAUCACAACAAAUUCGUCAAGUGCAAGAGGACUUCGGCUGUACUGGGCUCCGUCAACCCCGUGUACAAUGAAACCUUCAGCUUCAAGGCUGAUGCCAAUGAGCUGGACACCGCCAGCCUUAGCCUGGUGGUGCUGCAGAUCACAGAAGGGGACAAGAGCUACCCACUGGGCCGAGUGGUAGUGGGCCCCUACAUGUACACCCGUGGCAAAGAGCUUGAGCACUGGAAUGAGAUGCUCCGCAAGCCGAAGGAGCUGGUGAAGCGCUGGCACGCGCUCUGCCGCCCCAUGGAGCCCUGAGCCAUCCGUCGUGUCCCCAUACGUGCGACACAACACCGUGGACAUCUCGUCUAACACUCAGUGAACUGCGGGGCUAGCCUGAGACAGUGGCUCAUGGGUGUUCAAGUGCAGGAAGGAAAAAGGACACAACCCAGCUCCGGCCAGUAUCUGUGGCCAGCAGCCUCUCCUAACCCACCGAACCCCUAUGGAUCUGCGGGGCUACUGAUUGUCAAGGUCAUGACGUCAAAUAGGAUCUCAGGGUUAAGAACUGAUACUCUGUCUGGCGGAGCACAGCCUCAAGUGCUGAAAGGGAGCACAGCACCAGCUGAGUCCCACCACCUUGGGAAGUGGUGGGUUGAGGCCACGGAUACUUUGUUUUCCAAGCCGGGCGUUCUGCAGAAUGAACUGUGGGCCACAACAGGGAGAGACCUGUUGUGCAGCAGCCCACCCACAUACCAGGAGGUCAACGAGAGGUCAGCACAGCUUGCUCUGUAGCCCCUCCCUGGAGCCAUAGAACAGGUGGCAGCCCAAUUUACAUGACAUCUUGACCACAGCCAUCCUCCUCAGGAUGCCGCGUCUCACACCCUACUUCAGGUGAUCUCUUGCUGGCUUUCGUGGUCACCUGGUCAACAGAGUUUUGGGCAUUCAGCUCCUAACUCUUGCUUUGUACAGGCGAAUCCAUGGGACCAUGGUAUUGUCCUCAAGACUAAGGGCCGUGGCGAAAGGUAUAAACUUCAUUGGAUCAGUGGUCCCCAGAAUCAAAGUCACUGUCACCAAAUGCCCACUAGAUGAUCUAGCGAGCAGCCACUGUGCCUGUUAUUUCUGUGUGCCUGUACACCAAACUGCAGACAGGCAGAGUCCAUGCACUGUACCUAAAGCAGAACUGCCUGCCUGUGUCUCUCUUGUCUUCAGUGAGCGACUUCAGUUGAAGUAGAAGGAGCUUCACCUGUGCCUCUGUAGGUCCACUUCUGAUGUCUACCAAUACAAAACAGCUCUGCCUGACUGAUCCAGAAGGACACACCUUCCUGUUUCUUCCUCUCCACUUCAUUUACAGGCUUUCAAGGUGAUCCACACCGCAGUGGCUUCCAAUAGCGCAGGCACGCACGCACGCACGCACAGUUCCUUGUGCCUGCAGGGCAGGCUGCUGAAGCAGAGCUACAAUGUUUCAUCCGGAACCUAGAGACUGUGGAUACCUGCCGCCACGCCCAUAUGCCAACGUGAGACCGUGAUUGACAAUGGUCUUUCUUGGAUAACAAGGGAGAGUUGGUGGCCUGGUAUGUCUGACAGGCCUCUGAGAAACUGAAAUGGCAAGAAAUGAACGGGCUGUGGGUGUGCUGAGGGGUGAAAGCAGGAGCAGUCAUACUGUAGAGAUAUCUAUGGACUGACAAGGUAAAGAAAUAUGCAGGUUCUCAUGGGCCUGUGUGAGCUCUUGGGUGCCGUCUCAGAUCCUGUGUGUGAGUGACUCUAGCAGAAACUCUUUACAGCCCCAUAAGGUGAUCAGUUCCUCAGAAAUAUGUAAAGCUGAACAAAUGUUAUUUAACACAUACCAAUAUGAGAACCAUUUGACAAAUGCAGAUUACUCAAUUUUCUAGACAUUAGCGUGAUAUAUUUAUUCACUUCUUUUGCCUUUAAUAAGAGGGAUUUGGGGUUUGUAGGAGCCAGAGGGGUCAAGGGCACAAGAAAACCUACAGAAUCAACUAAGUUGGGCCCAUAAGGGCUCACGGAGACUGAACUGCCAACCUGAAAGCCUGCUUGGGACUGACCUAAGGCCUCUCUGCACAUGUGAUGUGUUACAGUUGUGUAGCUGGGUCCGUUGAGUGGGACUCCCAACAGCAGGAGCAGGCUGUCUCUGACUCUGCUGCCUGCCUUUUGGACCCUUUCCUCCCAUUGGGCUGUCUUGUCAAUAGGAGAGGAUGUGCCUAGUCCCACUGCAACUUGAUGAAGUCCGUGGGAGGCCUCCCCUUUACUGAAGAGAAACUGAGGAGAGUGAAUGGGAAGGGGGCGGGAGGGGAGGCUGGGAGGAGAGUAGAGGGGGAAACUGCAGUUGGGAUAUAAAGUAAUUUUAAAAAAAAUGAGGUUUGUGUUGUUUUUAUGUUGCUGCUGCUGUGGCUUGCUUGCUUGCUUGCGACAGUGCCUUCUAUUUAAGUCCCUGGCUGGCCUGGAGCUCACUAUGCAGACCAGGCUGGCCUCAACCUCAUGAGAGAUCCACCUGCAUCUGCUUCCCAAGUUGAGAUUAAAGGCAUGGGCCGCCAUGCCCUGCUUAUUUACAUGUGAGUUUUAAAAUUUCAUAAUACGUAAGAAAAAUAUGUUCUCAACAUCCUUGACGUUUACCGUAUGUGUGAUCUUAACUGUAGAAUAUAACCAAGCUCUGCUAAACACAUCUGAUCUCAUCCGGCUUUUUUUGACGUCGUAGCUCCACUGUGGGGCUUCGGAACACAGCUCUGUGCACAUCGGUGUGGCUAUACAGAUGAGCCACGAGUGAACUGAAGUGAACUCCAGUUAUAAUUAUUAUACAAACCUCCUAAAGAUAGUAAUCAAACACAUAAAACACCAACUGCAAGAAAUAUUACCUGUGAGGGUAGCUAACUAUAAAAAAAGAUUUAAAAACCAUAUAUUCUUUUUAGGUAGUUUUUUUUUAUUUUCUGGAAAAAAUGCUUUUAAAAAUCAUGGAAUAAUAAAAUAUAGUUAUAAU